rnacentral:rRNA from 1 species
AUUUGAAAUCUGGCCCCCGGGUCCGAGUUGUAAUUUGUAGAGGAUGCUUUUGGUGCGGUGCCUUCCGAGUUCCCUGGAACGGGACGCCAUAGAGGGUGAGAGCCCCGUCUGGUUGGACACCAAGCCUCUGUAAAGCUCCUUCGACGAGUCGAGUAGUUUGGGAAUGCUGCUCUAAAUGGGAGGUAUAUGUCUUCUAAAGCUAAAUACCGGCCAGAGACCGAUAGCGCACAAGUAGAGUGAUCGAAAGAUGAAAAGCACUUUGAAAAGAGGGUUAAAUAGUACGUGAAAUUGUUGAAAGGGAAGCGCUUGUGACCAGACUUGAGCCCGGUUAAUCAUCCAGCCUUCUGGCUGGUGCACUUGGCCGGCUCAGGCCAGCAUCAGUUCGGCGCGGGGGAUAAAGGCUUCGGGAAUGUGGCUCCUCCGGGAGUGUUAUAGCCCGUUGUGUGAUACCCUGUACUGGACUGAGGUUCGCGCAUCUGCAAGGAUGCUGGCGUAAUGGUCAUCAGCGACCCGUCUUGAAACACGGACCAAGGAGUCGUCUUCGUAUGCGAGUGUUCGGGUGUCAAACCCCUACGCGUAAUGAAAGUGAACGCAGGUGAGAGCUUCGGCGCAUCAUCGACCGAUCCUGAUGUUCUCGGAUGGAUUUGAGUAAGAGCAUACGGGGCCGGACCCGAAAGAAGGUGAACUAUGCCUGUAUAGGGUGAAGCCAGAGGAAACUCUGGUGGAGGCUCGCAGCGGUUCUGACGUGCAAAUCGAUCGUCAAAUAUGGGCAUGGGGGCGAAAGACUAAUCGAACCUUCUAGUAGCUGGUUUCCGCCGAAGUUUCCCUCAGGAUAGCAGUGUUGAACUCAGUUUU